rnacentral:rRNA from 1 species
UACGGAGGGGGCUAGCGUUGUUCGGAAUUACUGGGCGUAAAGCGUGCACAGGCGGUUUUGUAAGACAGAGGUGAAAUCCCCGGGCUCAACCUGGGAACUGCCUUUGUGACUGCAAGGCUUGAGUGCGGCAGAGGGGGAUGGAAUUCCGCGUGUAGCAGUGAAAUGCGUAGAUAUGCGGAGGAACACCGAUGGCGAAGGCAAUCCCCUGGGCCUGCACUGACGCUCAUGCACGAAAGCGUGGGGAGCAAACAGG